UACCAGCACCCCGAGUGGUCGGGACGAUUAUUGGGCCUAAAGCAUCCGUAGCCGGUUCUACAAGUCUUCCGUUAAAUCCACCUGCUUAACAGAUGGGCUGCGGAGGAUACUAUAGAGCUAGGAGGCGGGAGAGGCAAGCGGUACUUAGUGGGUAGGGGUAAAAUCCUCUGAUCCAUUGAAGACCACCAGUGGCGAAGGCGGCUUGCCAGAACGCGCUCGACGGUGAGGGAUGAAAGCUGGGGGGAGCAAACCGG
rnacentral:rRNA from 1 species